CCACCUAAUAAGUUGCUAGAAAGGCUGACUUCUUCUCGUUGCGCUCGCAUUAACAAUAUGAUUUACCUAGCUAAUUAAAUAAAUACCUAAUUGACAGAUGGUGUCCGGUUUCCGUUGGUAGCCAUCAACGACCGGUGCUAGCUAACUUAAACAGUGUGCUACUUUCCCAGCAGCAAGGUUGCCGAUAAAGACCUCAAGACGUUGACUCUGCUACUGUGUUUCUUCAGGAUGUCACAGGCAAUCGUUGCGGAUACUGGAAUAGCAACUUUGUCUGCACGAUUCUCCACCAUUAAAGCAGGCUAUCACCAAAGGGACGUGCACCUGAAAUUCUAGAACAGCUAAUAGGAAUGCCCCCUCUCUGAAAUGACCUGUGUCUCCCAUCACAGUCAAGAUUUUCUACAGCCCGAAAACAGAGCCAAGAGGAGGUGCAGAAGUCUGUUUUUUUCUCAGACCACUUAAAAUUCCAAUAUGCUUAAAGUUUAUAUGAGUUUUUC